rnacentral:rRNA from 1 species
GACGAACGCUGGCGGCGUGCUUAACACAUGCAAGUCGAACGGAAAGGCCCUGCUUUUGUGGGGUGCUCGAGUGGCGAACGGGUGAGUACACGUUAGUAACCUGCCCUUGACUUUGGGAUAACUUCAGGAAACUGGGGCUAAUACCGGAUAGGAGCUCCUGCUGCCUUGUUGGGGUUGGAAAGUUUCGGCGGUUGGGGAUGGACUCGCGGCUUAUCAGCUUGUUGGUGGGGUAGUGGCUUACCAAGGCUUUGACGGGUAGCCGGCCUGAGAGGGUGACCGGCCACAUUGGGACUGAGAUACGGCCCAGACUCCUACGGGAGGCAGCAGUGGGGAAUAUUGCACAAUGGGCGGAAGCCUGAUGCAGCAACGCCGCGUGCGGGAUGACGGCCUUCGGGUUGUAAACCGCUUUCGCCUGUGACGAAGCGUGAGUGACGGUAAUGGGUAAAGAAGCACCGGCUAACUACGUG